GGCGGACGGGUUGAGUAACACGUAGGUGACCUGCCCCGAAGCAGGGGAUAACGGCUCGAAAGGGCCGCUAAUACCCAAAAGGGUCGCGAGUCGCAUCGCGAUUAGAGUUACGGCGUUUUCGGGAGGGGCCUGCGGCCCAUCAGCUAGUUGGUAGGGUAACGGCCUACCAAGGCGACNACGGGUAGGGGGCCUGANAGGGUGAUCCCCCACAUUGGCACUGACACACGGGCCAAACUCCUACGGGAGGCAGCAGUGAGGAAUAUUGAGCAAUGAGCG
rnacentral:rRNA from 1 species